UACGGAGGGAGCUAGCGUUAUUCGGAAUUACUGGGCGUAAAGCGCACGUAGGCGGCUUUGUAAGUUAGAGGUGAAAGCCUGGAGCUCAACUCCAGAAUUGCCUUUAAGACUGCAUCGCUUGAAUCCAGGAGAGGUGAGUGGAAUUCCGAGUGUAGAGGUGAAAUUCGUAGAUAUUCGGAAGAACACCAGUGGCGAAGGCGGCUAUCUGGACCACAACUGACGCUGAGGCGCGAAAGCGUGGGGAGCAAACAGG
rnacentral:rRNA from 1 species